UACGUAGGGUCCGAGCGUUGUCCGGAAUUAUUGGGCGUAAAGAGCUCGUAGGCGGUCUGUCGCGUCGGCUGUGAAAACCCGGGGCUCAACUCCGGGCCUGCAGUCGAUACGGGCAGACUAGAGUUCGGUAGGGGAGACUGGAAUUCCUGGUGUAGCGGUGAAAUGCGUAGAUAUCGUAAGGAAGACCAGUGGCGAAGGCGGGUCUCUGGACAGUUCCUGACGCUGAGGCACGAAGGUCAGGGGAGCAAACGGG
rnacentral:rRNA from 1 species